rnacentral:misc_RNA from 1 species
GCACAAACAGAAUCUAACUCUAGAGAUAGGACAAAACCAGUCAGAAUUUGCAACAUAGAAGGCCCUCCCUCCAACCUCGAUACUUCCGGUAAUGCCUCCGUUCAGCCUUUACCAUUUUAACCGGGCUACUGUUCCAUUCAGACUGUAAUACAGGAAAGGCAAAAGAACGUGUGCUUGUUGUGCUACUUUCUGAUCGAAGCGAGAUGCUUCCAGAAUAAGCUAUUGGCCCUGAGUAAGUAACAAGACUAGCAAGUGGAUCUACAGCAGAGAAACUAGACUCGCCAAUGUUGUGUGGGUUCUGACUUGAAACUAGUCUACUAUCUGAAGUUCUAUAGUCCAGAUUGGUUGAACCUUGAGUUCCAAUUACAGAAUCGCUUCUUCCAUGACACUCCUCUGUUUCUUCAUUGCUGGUCAUGGGUGCUGGAGAGUUUAAGUUGGGAUUUCCAUGAUGUUCUUCUUCACCAUUGGCCAUGGG